GUCGAGCGGAGAGGCCCUUCGGGGUACUCGAGCGGCGAACGGGUGAGUAACACGUGAGCAACCUGCCCUAGGCUUUGGGAUAACCCUCGGAAACGGGGGCUAAUACCGGAUAUUCACUUGCGGACGCAUGUUUGUGGGUGGAAAGUUUUUCGGCUUGGGAUGGGCUCGCGGCCUAUCAGCUUGUUGGUGGGGUGAUGGCCUACCAAGGCGACGACGGGUAGCCGGCCUGAGAGGGCGACCGGCCACACUGGGACUGAGACACGGCCCAGACUCCUACGGGAGGCAGCAGUGGGGAAUAUUGCACAAUGGGCGGAAGCCUGAUGCAGCGACGCCGCGUGAGGGAUGACGGCCUUCGGGUUGUAAACCUCUUUCAGCAGGGACGAAGCGUGAGUGACGGUACCUGCAGAAGAAGCGCCGGCCAACUACGUGCCAGCAGCCGCGGUAAGACGUAGGGCGCGAGCGUUGUCCGGAUUUAUUGGGCGUAAAGAGCUCGUAGGCGGCUUGUCGCGUCGACUGUGAAAACCCGUGGCUCAACUGCGGGCCUGCAGUCGAUACGGGCAGGCUAGAGUUCGGUAGGGGAGACUGGAAUUCCUGGUGUAGCGGUGAAAUGCGCAGAUAUCAGGAGGAACACCGGUGGCGAAGGCGGGUCUCUGGGCCGAUACUGACGCUG
rnacentral:rRNA from 1 species